UCCAAAAAUAUUUAAUAGAUUUCAGUUAGUAUUCUAUUGUUUAACAGUGUGAUUAAUUGCAAUUGAUUUCUUUGAGUUAAUCACGUGAGUUAACUGGGAGUAAUCAACACCCUAGUUUUUAGUAACUUUAGUUAUGCCUGAUCUGGCUGGAUUUGAACAGGUGGCUUAGUGGCAAACAGCUCCAUUGCCUGUUAUCUGUCCCCUUACAUUUACAGGUCCUUACAAUCCCUUCUACAAAAGGGUGAGGAGAUGUUUUUAAAAGACUUCACAGAGCUGGAAAAGCCAGCCUACCCUGAAUGCAAGGAAGAAGAGCAGAGCUCUAGACUCACCAGGUGUGUCAGGAAGAGCCUGUGGAAUGUCUCGGGGGACAGCAUGGACAGCUACGUUUGCUUCUGACUUCGUGCAUCUUUCAGCAUCUUUGCUAGACAAAAUAACGGAAUGGUUUUGGUUCUCUGGGCAAGCUGCACUGCAGAAGUUUGUCAAAUGGUUGACAGCAAAAAUGGAGCUUUAUAAACAUAAGGACUAAAUGUAGGGCACACAUUCAAAUGAAGAUUGUCAAUGAGGGUAACCUGUCAAGGAUCUGGAGAAUGUCAAAAGUGAUGGCCCUUCUAAAAUCCAGAAAGAACCUGUACAGGGCAGGAAACUGCUGAUAAAUCUCUCUACAAUCUGUCAUCUUCAAAGUCCUGGACUGCCUUAUCCUCCAGCAUAUAUAAAUUGCACUUUAACGACAAAGAGAUUGCACUACAGUACUUGUAUGAGGUGAAUUGAAAAAUACUAUUUCUUUUGUUUAUCACUUUUACAGUGCAAAUAUUUGUAAU